rnacentral:sRNA from 2 species
UCCGACCAACCGCCGAAUUCUCCGAAACCCAAACGGAGAAGCGGGGGACCCAAGUUAUUGGGGCGAAUCCGCCUAGUUCGUCUAGGCGGUAGGGCAAGCAACCUCCCGCCCGAGCCCGUCAGCUAACCCCGUAGGCAGGAGGAGGCUAUGC